UCGGGUGAGUCAAAAACACUGAUGGAGCUGAUGUUCCUCUAACGGAAUUUCGGUGAAGUCCGGAUGGUCGACUUUCCAGGAUGCUCGGAGAACUGAUAAUCUCUCGAGGUCGCUGGGGUUGGGUCGGAUUUCGUGAUCUGCGCGAGUCAAAAACACUGAUGAAACCGAUGUUCGUUUACAGAAGGAAUUUCAGUGAAGUCCGGAUGGUCAAUCUUCCUACACGUCCGGGGAGACGGGCAACGUUCUGGAUUCUUCCACGAACGGCUAAUAAGGCAAUGGUGUGUAGGGGUUGAAUUUCUUGCCAUUCACGUCAAAAACACUGACCGAGCUGAUAU
rnacentral:lncRNA from 1 species